rnacentral:rRNA from 1 species
AGAGAACGCUGGCGGUAGGCCUAACACAUGCAAGUCGAACGGCAGCACAGUAAGAGCUUGCUCUUACGGGUGGCGAGUGGCGGACGGGUGAGGAAUACAUCGGAAUCUACUUUUUCGUGGGGGAUAACGUAGGGAAACUUACGCUAAUACCGCAUACGACCUACGGGUGAAAGCAGGGGAUCUUCGGACCUUGCGCGAUUGAAUGAGCCGAUGUCGGAUUAGCUAGUUGGCGGGGUAAAGGCCCACCAAGGCGACGAUCCGUAGCUGGUCUGAGAGGAUGAUCAGCCACACUGGAACUGAGACACGGUCCAGGCUCCUACGGGAGGCAGCAGUGGGGAAUAUUGGACAAUGGGCGCAAGCCUGAUCCAGCCAUACCGCGUGGGUGGAGAAGGCCUUCGGGUUGUAAAGCCCUUUUGUUGGGAAAGAAAAGCAGCAGGUUAAUACCCCGCUGUUCUGACGGUACCCAAAGAAUAAGCACCGGCUAACUUCGUG